AGGCGUGUAGCUCAGCGGUCAGAGCGCCCUGUUUUAACUCCAGGGAGGUCGUAGGUUCGAAUCCUGCUGCGCCUACCA
rnacentral:tRNA from 1 species